rnacentral:rRNA from 1 species
UCUGCCACCGAAUACAUUAGCAUGGGAUAAUGGAAUAGGACCCUGUCCUCCUAUUUUCAGUUGGUUUUGGCAGCGCGAGGACUAGGGUAAUGAUUAAUAGGGAUAGUUGGGGGCAUUAAUAUUUAAUUGUCAGAGGUGAAAUUCUUGGAUUUAUGAAAGAUUAACUUCUGCGAAAGCAUCUGCCAAGGAUGUUUUCAUUAAUCAAGAACGAAAGUUAGGGGAUCGAAGACGAUCAGAUACCGUCGUAGUCUUAACCAUAAACGAUGCCGACCAGCGAUUAGGAGACGUUGAAUACAAAACACCACCAUCGGYGCGGUCGUCCUUGGCGUCUCGGUUUCGGCCGGGGYGCGGGGACGGCUUAGCCCGGUGGCACCGGUGAAUGACUCCCCUAGCAGCUUGUGAGAA